CUUCUCUGAAUAGACAAGCUAAGCCAGUGUGCCGCUAUAUCCUGGAAAGUUUCUUUGCUUUUUGGCUAGUGCUGUGCCGGUGCAGUUCUUAUUAU